rnacentral:rRNA from 1 species
GCAAGUCGAACGGGACUAGAUUAAAAGACUUGCUUUGAGAAGUCUAGUGGCAAACGGGUGAGUAACGCGUAGGCAACCUGCCUCUAAGAUGGGGACAACAGUCCGAAAGGACUGCUAAUACCGAAUGUUGUGAGUUUUCCGCAUGGGAGACUCAUUAAAGAUGGCCUCUACUUGUAAGCUAUCACUUAGAGAUGGGCCUGCGUCUGAUUAGCUAGUUGGUGGGGUAACGGCCCACCAAGGCGACGAUCAGUAGCCGGUCUGAGAGGAUGAACGGCCACAUUGGGACUGAGACACGGCCCAGACUCCUACGGGAGGCAGCAGUGGGGAAUCUUCCGCAAUGGGCGAAAGCCUGACGGAGCAACGCCGCGUGAGUGAAGAAGGUCUUCGGAUCGUAAAGCUCUGUCGAAGGGGACGAACGUGGGUUCUAUCAACAACGGAACCUAAUGACGGUACCUUUCAAGAAAGCCACGGCUAACUACGUGCCAGCCGCUGC